GAUGAAGAACGCAGCGAAAUGCGAUACUUGGUGUGAAUUGCAGAAUCCCGUGAACCAUCGAGUCUUUGAACGCAAGUUGCGCCCGAAGCCAUUAGGCCGAGGGCACGCCUGCCUGGGCGUCACACGUCGUUGCCCCCCCAUCUACUCCUUCGGGAUUGCGGGGGGCGGAUGAUGGCCUCCCGUGCGCCUCGUCGCGCGGUUGGCCUAAAUGCCAAGUCCUCGGCGACGCACGCCACGACAAUCGGUGGUUGCGAAACCUCGGUUGCCCGUCGUGUGCGGUCGUCGCGCAUCGAGGGCUCGAAAAAAUUGCCGGGCUUCGGCUCGACUUUCAACGCGACCCCAGGUCAGGCGGGGUUACCCGCUGAAUUUAAGCAUAUAAUAAGCGGAGGA
rnacentral:misc_RNA from 1 species